GUGCCAGCAGCCGCGGUAAUACGGAGGGUGCAAGCGUUGUUCGGAAUUAUUGGGCGUAAAGCGCGUGCAGGCGGUUGCUUAAGUCUGAUGUGAAAGCCCUGGGCUCAACCCGGGAAGUGCAUUGGAAACUGGGCAACUUGAGUACGGGAGAGGAUAGUGGAAUUCCGAGUGUAGGGGUGAAAUCCGUAGAUAUUCGGAGGAACACCGGUGGCGAAGGCGGCUAUCUGGACCGAUACUGACGCUGAGACGCGAAAGCGUGGGGAGCAAACAGGAUUAGAUACCCCUGUAGUCC
rnacentral:rRNA from 1 species